UUACUUAAUGUUGUUGUGUAUCUUGUAUUCUAGUGUCACCAGUGAAUUAAAUAUUAAUGUUCUGUCACUGUAAUUACUUGAUUAUUGUCAGGACACUUUUCUAAUAAUCGUUCACUUGUUUCAGUCAUUGGCUCCACCUUCUUGGAAUAAAGAAUUGAUCAUGUGACCCACCUUGGCUGUGAUGUCAGCGAUGGUGCUGAAGAAGGCGCUGUAGUCUCUGGUGGACGGACCGACCUUGCUCUCCACAAACUGUCGGAUCUUCAGCUCCAGCUCGGCGUUGGCCUUCUCCAGCAUGUGAACCUUGUUCAGGUACGUGGCCAGACGGUCGUUCAGGUUCUGCAUGGCGAACUUCUCGUUACCGAUGGUGUUGCUGUCCAUGCCGGACGCGCCGUAGCUCAUGGAGGAGUAGCUGCUGCCCCCCCCAGCAGAGGAGAUGCGGACGCCUUGGCCUCCAGAUCCACCGUACACGCUGCCGGACAUCAGCCUGCCGCCGCCGAGCCCGACCAUGGAGCUGCCGGAGCUUCCCACGGAUGACCUCACUGACCUGCUGUAAGACAUGCUGCUGGACAUGAUGCUGCUGUUGCUGCUGCUGCUGCUGCUGCUGCUGAGGCUGGAGACGAGAGUGAGGAAACGCAGGACGCUGCGUCCUAUUUAAAGCAGCUGCAGUCAAAGAGCUGUCAAUCAGAGCAGGUGAGGUGGGGACUCAGGAAUGUAGCAGCUGUGGGUGUGGCCGGGGACGGUCAAGGAAAAAAUGUAACUUGUACAUCUAUAAUGACAGUAAUGAGCUGUCGGCUCCUCACGACCUUUGGAUUAGAGACGAGUUUCGUAAGAAACGCUGUUGCGACAGGUUUGGGGUGGGCGGGGCCAAUGAGUGAAAGGUUACAGUGAAUCUGAAUCAAUGUCACACAAUCAUUCUUUAACAAAACCACACUCUCAUUCAUUCACUCAUUCAUCUUCUACCGCUUCAUGGACAGGUGACCAAACAUUCACACCUACAGAACCUGGAGAAAACCCAGGCACACGUGGGGAGAACGUGCAAACCCAGAAAGACGUCCAUCCUUUUUGCUGUGAGGCAACAAUGUUAGGCACUGCACCACAGUGUGACCCAUCUACAUUAAACUCAAAGCAACUUCACGGACAAGGAGUGAGACAACUGAGAGCAGGACACUUCAGUCAGAACAACCGAGGACAAUCAUGUGUCUCCACACGUGUCUCCGGUGUCCACAUCAACAUCUGAUCUCAUCACAUGAACCCUUUAACCUUUGACCUUCCCUUUAAUAUUGUUUACCUUCAUCAGUGUCACUGUGACUCCGCCUCCUCUCAUUCAAAACGUUGUCACGCCUGUUCACAGUGACCUGUCUGUCAUCAGUGAGGUGACCCCGCCCUCAUUCAUUCACUGAAGCUGAUGAUGAAACGUUCACUCAACAAACCAGUUUCUUCGCCCUGAUUCUCUGAGCCCUCAUGGUUUCAUAUUCAUUCAUUCAUUGAAGAAAACACACACUCACUCCUGCAUUCACUCACUCACUCCUGCAUUUAUUCACCCUCUCACUCACUCCUGUAUUCACUCACUCAAUCACUCCUGCAUUUAUUCACUCACUCACUCCUGCAUUCAUUCACUCACUCCUGCAUUUAUUCUCUCACUCCUGCAUUUAUUCAUUCACUCACUCCUGCAUUUAUUCACUCACUGACUCCUGCAUUCCUUCACUCACUCCUGCAUUUAUUCACUCACGCUUGCAUUCAUUCACUCACUCCUGCAUUCAUUCACUCACUCCUGCAUUUAUUCACUCACUGACUCCUGCAUUCACUCACUCACUCCUGCAUUUAUUCACUCACUCACUCCUGCAUUCAUUCACUCCUGCAUUUAUUCACUCACGCUUGCAUUCAUUCACUCACUCCUGCAUUCAUUCACUCACUCCUGCAUUUAUUCACUCACUGACUCCUGCAUUCACUCACUCCUGCAUUUAUUCACUCACUCACUCCUGCAUUCAUUCACUCCUGCAUUUAUUCACUCACGCUUGCAUUCAUUCAUUCACUCCUGCAUUUAUUCACUCACGCUUGCAUUCAUUCACUCACUCCUGCAUUCAUUCACUCACUCCUGCAUUCAUUCACUCACUCCUGCAUUCACACACUCACUCACGCACACACACAGUCACUCACUCACCCUCACUCUCUCACACACACACACACACACUCAUUCACACAACUUUGACAUCUGCCACAUGAGGUCACUGUUGACCAACACACAUCUGUUAUUACUGUCGUUCAUUUUCCAACUUUCUCUCCUGUUUCUUUGUUUAUCUCUGUUUAUCUCUGUUUAUCUUUGUUUUAUCUCUGUUUAUCUUUGUUUAUCUCUGUUUAUCUUUGUUUAUUUGCUCCUAACGCUGAAGAACUUUUAAAGAACUUUAAUUCUACGUGCACCGAUAUCCUUGAUUCUGUUGCACCUUUCAGAAUCAGAGCCGUGGCUUAAUGACUCGACACGACGGUGGAUAAGAGAUAAGCUCCGUGUCUGCUAACCAGAGUGUUGUUAAGAUGGAAUAUUUUUCCAAUCUUGUUUCUUGUAAUCGUCACAAGCCCCACGUUGUUUUUAAUAUUGUUAGCCCUUGUGGUAACUCUCCAGUGACACCCUCACUCACCCUUUGUGAGAAUUUCCCCACAUUUGUUAUUGAAAAAAUCUCUGACCUUAGACCAUGUGCCUUCUCUCCUGCUUUCAGAAUAGAUUUGAACAUGUUAUUGCUUGUUUUUAAAGCUCUUAAUGGCUUAGCCCCCCAACAUUUAACUGAGCUCGUCCGUAUUCACGCCCCUGCCAGAACACUGAGAUCUGUUUAUCAGCUGUUACUGACCACCCCCAAAAUGAGGCUAAAAACCAAAGGUGACCGAGAUCCAUUGAGGUUUUUAAAUCCUCAUUAAAGGCAUAUCUUGCACUGUGUUUAUGUAUUUUGUUAUUUAUUUAUUUCAUUUACUGUAACUGCGGCUUUGUAUGAGCCAUUUUCUAUCAUUGCUUUUAAUCUGUACAGCACUUUGAUCAACCCCGGUUGUUUUAAAUGUGCUCUAGAAAUAAAGUUUGAGUUGAGUUUA